UAUUUCCCAUCUCUGUGGAGUUGUCACUGGGAUUACAUUUCUGAUCUCCCCUUACAUCUAGGUGGUGCCAUGUGACUAAUACUUGCUGAUGGAACAUGAGCAGAAGCAAUUUGUGUCACUUUUAAAAGCAGGUGUUCAUUUUAUACCCUCCCAUUUGAUUUCUUGAUGCAGACAACCAUAGUAACCUUGGAAUUCAGUGUGUUGAAGAUGGAAGAGCUACAAGAGAUCAACUCAUGUACUACUAAUGGAACACAUGUCAUUCUUUGGAAAUGCUGCAGUUUACCAUUAGUGGAAGUGGAAGGGAAAAGGGAAGGCAGCAACAAGUCUUCGUCAGUUGAUGACAUCACUCGUCACUCAGACUGGGGCUGGUCUGGAUGACCUUCAAAGACCCACUUUGGCAUUCUGUUCCAUGUUAACCCAGGCCCAUGUGCAUCUAUACGGAAACCCAAGCUAACUGCCUUGGAAACCACAAAGAGGAGUGCAUAUGUUUAUUUGUUGGUGAUCACAUUGCUGGGUACAGUGGAAAAACAUGUAAGAGCUUUCAAUCUGUUUGGAGAUACAGGACUUGUGAAACAACAUCAAAGCAGGUAAGAUGAAAUGUAAAUUAGAUCGAGUAGAGUAUAAGUGCAAAACUGAACUGAGCAAGACACUUCUGCACUUACAUUUUGUAGGAGUUUGGAGAAAAGGGAGACUGAAACGAGAGAUGGAUGGCAGACUGACUGGGUGCCACGUGUCCCUGAAAUGUCCUAACCAUACUCAAUAAGAGUGUGUGCCUUCUCAGGGAGUCUAUAGGGCAUGUGCCAGGCCCUUAAUAUCUACACUGAAAAUGGCGUGUUCAUUUCCAGGAAUACUCUGGUGCACUUUAACAAAACAAAAACCAAAUUCCUACUUCUGAAAUCCUUUUAUCAGAAAAUGCAGGGAUUUGGAGUCAGCUGACCUGUGCCAAAUCCUGAUUCUGUUACUUCAGUGGCUGUGGGAGCUGGGGCAUGUCCAGUCAGCAUAUGGAAUCUUGAGAUCCUGAUGUGACAAAUGGGGUGGUACUAAUACCAGUCCUGCCUAGACUUGGCCCCCAAUGUAAGGGGAACAAAUGAGAUCGUGUAGGCGAUGCCACUUUGCACAUUCUGAAGCACUAAAUGAAUGUGCAAUGGUGUCACCACAUGGUCUUUUGCCUCUUUUGCCUAUUACAUCUCUACCCCCAUGAUGUUCUGAGACUGGUGGCAUCUGCUCCAGAGAGGAAGCAGGCCUGGAAUAGCCCGGGUAUUUACGGAGGAGAUUGGCAGAGUGUGAGUUGUGAAACUCAGUGGUCUGCUCCAGAUCAUCCUGUUGAGUUCCUCACUCUCAUGAGCACUAAAUUUACUCUCCCCAUUUUUUAAAAAAUAGCUUCAGAAAUUUGCUCUAUUAUGUUUCUCUUCACUUUAUGUUGGGGGGAAUUUGAGAAUACUUCCAUACAAAGGGCUGUUCUUUGACUGAGAAUGAUCCUGUCAGGCAUAUAGCUCACCUCUCACUUGUCAGGCACACGGCAAGAGAAUGACUUUCUCAGAAUUAAUGGCCUUUUCUAAACCCAUUAAAGAAACUCUAAAGAUUAGGGCUGCUGUUCCCAAGCAUGAGGAUCAUUUUAUGUGGAUUGGCCACUUUGAAUAAGCUAGUGACUAGUGGAAGAGUAGCUGUAACCCUGCCCUCUGAAGGCUUGUACUCAUAAUGAGCUCAAAUGUGACCUAAGGACAACUAAACCGGUAAGUCUGAGACUUGAUUACCCUGUAUGUUUUGCAGCCUCCUCCUCUUACUCAGUGUGUGACCUUAGGCAGCUCACUGCACCUCUGUGGGAUUCAGUUUCUGCAUCUGCCAUAGAGGGAUCAUGAGUACCGAUCCUCCAGGGCUGACAUGAAAAUUAAAGAAGGUAGAGUGUCUACAGUGCUGAUCUACGUGAUUGGCAUAUAGGCAACACUCUGCAAAUGUUAGCUGUUAUGACUGUGAUGAUGUUAGGACCUUGUCACAGUGUAAAGGAAGCCAUAUCCCUGACCUCUGAGGGCAUGUGCUCAAAAUGAGAUAAAAUACAGAAAGACAAGCAAUCCAAACGUGGGCAGAAGGGGCAGGGAGGUUGCAUUCAGUCCAGUGGUUUCACCGAACCCUCCUUCCUUUCCAUCUCCUCCUACCAAAAUUGUUAACUUUACCACAGAACAAGACAUUAUUUUAACUGCCUAGAAACCAGGGCUUCUUUCGUUUUUUCCCCAAGUGGGGUGAGGGGGAAGGAAAAGAGAGAGGAAAUAAACACCAGCUGGGAUGAGAAUAUGAAGAAAAGAUAGGUUUCUUUUUUUUCCAUUAAAAAAAAAAGAAUGGGGUAGUGGGGACAGGGAGAAAAAUGUGUUUUGAAUGUGGAGGUACUGUUGCAAAUAGCACAGGCAGUUUCCCAGAGCCGCACUUCUUCCAAUCAUCUCAGAGCAGGCAGUGCUCUGGCCCCAGCCAAUUAUUUAUUUACACAAGAGGUACAGAUGCCAGAGGCAGGUGUCAAAACAAUUAAUAACACUCCCGAAAUGAAUAGUCUCUCCGUAACUCUGCCAGCCCGUGUAGGCUGGCUCCUCAGGAGAGAGCUCCCUGAGAAACUGCUCCCAGCCAGAGCAAUGGUCUGGGUCCACUGCGCAAACAUUCAGUACUGAUCUGUAGCUACACUCUACCGCCCAUUGCGUAUGAGGGUGAGGGCUUGCCUUUUCAAGAGACUCACCUUCAUCCCUUCUUGAAAUACCUAGUACUUCGCGAAAGCUGAAUCUUUGCUCAAAAGUCUUUGAGUUUUUCUAGCCAGAGAAAUGCAGAGGCAGACUGGGGGACUCCAAAGUGGUGGGAACUGCUGUUUCUUGAAGAUAAAUUUGCAGUAAAAUGAAUUCUACAAUUGAGGAUUAAAAGGAUUUCAAAUUUAAAUUGAAUUAAAAUUUUAAAACUUAAUUCACUUAUUUUUCAAAACAACCUUACAAGGUAUACACUACUAUUAUCCCCAUUUCCAGACGAAGAAACCGAGUCACAAAAAGGGUAAGUAAUUUGCUCAAGUAAGUAGUAGAUCUAGAAUUUGAACUCAGGUGGGCUGGCUCUAAGGUAAAUGCUCUUAACCAUUAAACACUCUGCUUUGCUCCCUCCUGUUCAUUCCAGAGAUUGAACUUCCUUCUCUUGACCUUACAGCCAAAGGUUGUUAUUGUGUCAUAUAAAUAUACUUUCUAUAACUAUGUGUGUUGGUAUUUAUUUCUCAUUGAGGUUGAGAAGGUCUUGGUGCUUUGAACAUCUUCCCACCUAUCCUGUGCACAACUGCACACACUCUCAAAUAAUGAAAACAUUUUUCUUUUUGAUUUUACAAGCUGAUAUUAUUCUCUUUGGAGCUUUGGUGUCUUAGAAAUGCACUGUAACCUUAAUUACAACUCGUAUCAGGGGAGUUGUACUCAGUUUUAAGGGACUGCUUCACCGUUCUAACUGUGGAGAAAUGGGAAGUUAUUUCCCAGUGGCUCGAAUUAGAAUUAAUGCACUGAGCUCUCCAGACCACAGACAGAAUCAUGAGACAUUGGGUAAGCAUCUGAAUCGGGGAAUUUUCAGCCUCCUGGCAAAUGCUUCUUUUUUCUUCACCCCUUCCCCAAGCCUGCCCAGGAGAAGUCCGUGCCUUGGGGAGUAGGGACUUGAGCUAACUAUCAGGUUGGCAAUCAGUGAAUGCCUGCUGGUGGAUUGAUUGCUAGAGUCUGCUAGAGAAGAACUUUUGAAACCUCAGGAGCAAAAGAGUGUGUGUUCUUGAUUCUAGGGCCAGAUCCAAUCUCCUCAAAAAAUUAAGACAAAGUCAGAGUUUCCCCGACAAAACCCACAUUUGGCAGUCUUCAGAAAGUUUCUAUCACCUGCAGGAUGGAAAAAUCAUGGUCCCCAGGGAAGGUAAUGGGUACUUAUUUCAUGUUUUCGCUUUCAUUGCAGAUGGAAGCAGCAGCAAUAGGAACAGCAGCAACACAGCCUCGGACCAACUGAGCAUUUAAUUGAACACCUAAUGGAGUGACACUUUGUUUCCUAGGCAAAUUUGGUUGCUAUUAACAGGGAGAUGUUGAUGCUCAGAGUGACCUUGGAAUCAUUGUGGUGAAACUGACGGCCUCCACUGGCAUGUGUGCCUGAAUGACUGUGACUCCCUCUGACCAAAAGAAAUAUCCAUAUUGGGUUUCAUAUGAGUAAGACUUCUAUUGUGUUAAGCUAUUGAGAUUUCAGGGUUUUUCUGUGAGAGCUUCUACUAUAAUCUUAACAUUCAAGGGACCAGGCUAUACAUAUAUUCAAUCUUGUAGAUAAAUAUCAUCAUGAAUCAUAGCAACAUUUUCAAGAUGCUUUGUAUGUAUUUCUGUGUAACCUUUAA
rnacentral:lncRNA from 10 species